AUUAUUUACUGUUUGUAAUAAUGAUUUCUAAUAAUUCAAUAUCGUUUAUUAAGAAUAUUGAUAUCAUUAAAAUUUAAAUUUUCAUCUUACAACGCCAUCUUCCAGUCAAAUGUAACAUAAAAUAUUUCAGAUCGAUAAAAAUAAAUGGACACAUUGUAGAUUGCUGCACGUGUACUACACAAUUCUAUCGUCUUUUCACAAUAAACUGUAUUCAGAUAAUUUUAAUAAAACAAUUGAUAACACAAUAUGUUCGGAAAAAUGUAUAAAGAAAUUAAUAAAGUAACAGGUGUUAUAAAAGGAACAUAUUACGAUGGAUUCAAAUGGUCAGUGGUAAAAAGCAUUGCAUUUUUUGCACUGGGAGUCAAAAUUGCUUUAGAAUGCAAGGGAAUGGAUAUUAUGCCACCGGUUACAGUGUAAAACAAAUUUUAUAACAUGAUGUUUUGUUAAGCUUAUUGACAUUGUUAAUAUUUCAUUACCAGCAACAUUCAAUGAUGAAAAGUAAUAAUUUUUAAUUAAAUAGAUUGUACUAUAA